CAGUCGCCGCGGUAAUACGGAGGGUGCAAGCGUUAAUCGGAAUUACUGGGCGUAAAGCGCACGCAGGCGGUCUGUCAAGUCAGAUGUGAAAUCCCCGGGCUUAACCUGGGAACUGCAUUUGAAACUGGCAGGCUAGAGUCUUGUAGAGGGGGGUAGAAUUCCAGGUGUAGCGGUGAAAUGCGUAGAGAUCUGGAGGAAUACCGGUGGCGAAGGCGGCCCCCUGGACAAAGACUGACGCUCAGGUGCGAAAGCGUGGGGAGCAAACAGGAUUAGAGACCCCAGUAGUCCCUGUCUCUUAUCC
rnacentral:rRNA from 1 species